UACGAAGGGGCGAGCGUUGUUCGGAAUUAUGCUGGGCGUAAAGGGCGCGCAGGCGGCUCUGAAAGUCAGAUGUGAAAGCCCCGGGCUUAAACCUGGGAAUUGCAUUUGAUACUUCAUGGAGGCUUGAGUGUGGGAGAGGAGAGUGGAAUUCCCAGUGUACGAGGUGAAAUUCGUAGAUAUUGGGAAGAACACCGGUGGCGAAGGCGGCUCUCUGGACCACAACUGACGCUGAGGCGCGAAAGCGUGGGGAGCAACAGG
rnacentral:rRNA from 1 species